rnacentral:rRNA from 1 species
CCUACGGGAGGCAGCAGUGAGGAAUAUUGGUCAAUGGGCGGGAGCCUGAACCAGCCAAGUCGCGUGAAGGAAGAAGGUACUUAGUAUUGUAAACUUCUUUUGUCGGGGAACAAAGGCGGAGACGCGUCUCCGGCUGAGUGUACCCGAAGAAAAAGCAUCGGCUAACUCCGUGCCAGCAGCCGCGGUAAUACGGAGGAUGCGAGCGUUAUCCGGAUUUAGUGGGUUUAAAGGGUGCGCAGGCGGGAGAUCAAGUCAGCGGUAAAAUGUCGGGGCUCAACCCCGGCCGGCCGUUGAAACUGGUGUUCUAGAGUGGGAGAGAAGUAUGCGGAAUUCGUGGUGUAGCGGUGAAAUGCAUAGAUAUCACGAAGAACUCCGAUUGCGAAGGCAGCAUAUCGGCUCCAUACUGACGCUGAGGCACGAAAGCGUGGGGAUCGAACAGGAUUAGAUACCCGAGUAGUC